CGUGCCCCCAUGCAUGGUUAUCCAUUCAAUUAAUUGAGGGAUGCAGCCUACACCUCUCUAAUUAUAUUUUUCUUUCUCUCUUUCGUGUGGAGUGGAGAGCCGAAGCGGAGGAGCUCGGUGGAGGUAGCCGCGAGCACGAGUUCGACGCCGACGACGCGUCGCGAAGCCAUUCGAGGGUACGGUUGGGAUCGUAGCGCUGCGAGGAAGCUAGGCGAGGGUACGUUUUCGCCGUUCUCGACGCCGCGUCGAUGUCCGAUUAGCCUUUGAGCGUCGACCGUCGGUAUUUCAGUUCGUACUCGGCGUAGGAGCGUCGGUUUUCGACGGGACUUGGUUUGUUGGAUUCGGGACUUCGAGAGGAAUCCAUGAAGCCCUUACGUGCUGGAUUUGGUAAAGAGUUUGGCGGGAGCUUGACUUCGGGCCUUGGGAGGUUUUUGGACGUUUCGGCAGGUUGUUCCGCAGCCGAGGGGAGUUCCGUGCUGCCAGGGAUUAGCGAGCGAGGUGGGUUACAUCGGUUUAUUCCUAAGUAUAGCAUUA